GUGCACGCUGGCGGUAGGCCUAACACAUGCAAGUCGAACGGCAGCACCGUAAGAGCUUGCUCUUACGGGUGGCGAGUGGCGGACGGGUGAGGAAUACAUCGGAAUCUACUUUUUCGUGGGGGAUAACGUAGGGAAACUUACGCUAAUACCGCAUACGACCUACGGGUGAAAGCAGGGGAUCUUAGGACCUUGCGCGGUUGAAUGAGCCGAUGUCGGAUUAGCUAGUUGGCGGGGUAAAGGCCCACCAAGGCGACGAUCCGUAGCUGGUCUGAGAGGAUGAUCAGCCACACUGGAACUGAGACACGGUCCAGACUCCUACGGGAGGCAGCAGUGGGGAAUAUUGGACAAUGGGCGCAAGCCUGAUCCAGCCAUACCGCGUGGGUGAAGAAGGCCUUCGGGUUGUAAAGCCCUUUUGUUGGGAAAGAAAAGCAGCAGGUUAAUACCCCGCUGUUCUGACGGUACCCAAAGAAUAAGCACCGGCUAACUUCGUG
rnacentral:rRNA from 1 species